AAAACAAAUAGAAACGUAGAAAAAGAUGGGACUAUUACGAAACACUCUGGUGGUUCAAUAAAAUUGGAGGUUCAUGAGAAUAGAUUGGCAAAGAAGUUGGGUAGACAACCAACUCAACUUGAACUAUUUCGUGCAACUCAC